rnacentral:tRNA from 1 species
CAAGGUUAGCUCAACCAGUGAGCAUCUGACUCAUAAUCAGAGUGUCGGCGGUGCAAAUCCGUCAUCUUGCA